rnacentral:rRNA from 1 species
AUUGAACGCUGGCGGCAUGCUUUACACAUGCAAGUCGAACGGGGUGAGGGGGCAACUCCUCAUUCAGUGGCGAACGGGUGAGUAAUGCAUCGGAACGUGUCCCGUAGUGGGGGAUAACGCCGCGAAAGCGGCGCUAAUACCGCAUACGCUCUACGGAGGAAAGCAGGGGACCCGCGAGGGCCUUGUGCUAGGGGGGCGGCCGGUGUCCGAUUCGCUUGUUGGUGGGGUAAUGGCCCACCAAGGCGACGAUCGGUAGCUGGUCUGAGAGGAUGAUCAGCCACACUGGGACUGAGACACGGCCCAGACUCCUACGGGAGGCAGCAGUGGGGAAUUUUGGACAAUGGGGGCAACCCUGAUCCAGCCAUGCCGCGUGCGGGAAGAAGGCCUUCGGGUUGUAAACCGCUUUUAGCCGGGACGAAAGCUCUACGGAUAACACCCGUGGGGGUUGACGGUACCGGCGGAAUAAGCACCGGCUAACUACGUGCCAGCCGCCGCAGUAACAC